GUCCAGGUGAUGUGUCCCAAAUAGAACAAAACACACGUCCUGGAU
rfam:Schistosoma mansoni strain Puerto Rico chromosome 1, complete genome